rnacentral:lncRNA from 1 species
AAUUCAUCCUUGGGAAGAAUCUCUCGCUUGAGUUCUUCGGUCUUGUCUGCCAUCACCCGAGCUCUAAAUGCCACUUCUCUCAUCUGUCUCAGUAUCCAUCGCAUCUCAGCUUCUUUCCUUUGAAGGCUUUGUGUGCACGAAUCAUUUCUUUCCCUCAUUUGAAAAUAUUCUUGCCUUACUACUUCGUACUGUGCCUUGUA